CUGCCAGCUCUCAUGAUGACCCUUGUGCCUCUGAGCUGCCAUGAUUCUGGCUUCAAAGUAAACGCUCUGAAGAGAUAGGCAGUGGUC
ensembl:snoRNA SNORD105 small nucleolar RNA, C/D box 105